UACAGAGGUCUCAAGCGUUGUUCGGAUUCAUUGGGCGUAAAGGGUGCGUAGGCGGCGCGGUAAGUCGGGUGUGAAAUCUCGGAGCUUAACUCCGAACUGCAUUCGAUACUGCCGUGCUUGAGGACUGGAGAGGAGACUGGAAUUUACGGUGUAGCGGUGAAAUGCGUAGAUAUCGGGAGGAACACCAGUGGCGAAGGCGGCAUCCUGGCCAUGUCCUGACGCUCAGGGGCGAAAGCGUGGGGAGCAAACCGG
rnacentral:rRNA from 1 species